AAUAUUGCACAAUGGAGGAAACUCUGAUGCAGCGACGCCGCGUGAACGAUGAAGGCCUUCGGGUCGUAAAGUUCUGUCCUUGGGGACGAUAAUGACGGUACCCAAGGAGGAAGCCCCGGCUAACUACGUGCCAGCAGCCGCGGUAAUACGUAGGGGGCGAGCGUUGUCCGGAAUUAUUGGGCGUAAAGGGUUCGCAGGCGGUCCUUUAAGUCAGAUGUGAAAGCCAUAGGCUCAACCUAUGUAAGCAUUUGAAACUGAAGGACUUGAGUUAAGGAGAGGAAAGUGGAAUUCCUAGUGUAGCGGUGAAAUGCGUAGAUAUUAGGAGGAAUACCAGUGGCGAAGGCGACUUACUGGACUAUAACUGACACUAAGGCUCGAAAGCGUGGGGAGCAAACA
rnacentral:rRNA from 1 species